AGUCAAGUGAAUAAGUGCAUCAGGUGGAUGCCUUGGCGAUGAUAGGCGACGAAGGACGUGUAAGCCUGCGAAAAGCAUCGGGGAGCUGGCAAUAAAGCUUUGAUCCGGUGAUGUCCGAAUGGGGAAACCCACCGCAUUCAGUGCGGUAUCCUUGUCUGAAUACAUAGGACAAGAGAAGCGAACCCGGAGAACUGAACCAUCUAAGUACCCGGAGGAAAAGAAAUCAACCGAGAUUCCGCAAGUAGUGGCGAGCGAACGCGGAGGAGCCUGUAUACGAUAGCCGUCGGGAUAGAAGAAAGAAUUGGAAACUUCUGCCAUAGUGGGUGAUAGCCCCGUAUUCGAAAUUCCGGCGGUGGUACUAGGUAUACGACAAGUAGGGCGGGACACGAGAAAUCCUGUCUUAAGAUGGGGGGACCAUCCUCCAAGGCUAAAUACUCAUCAUCGACCGAUAGUGAACCAGUACCGUGAGGGAAAGGCGAAAAGAACCCCGGGAGGGGAGUGAAAUAGAACCUGAAACCUGAUGCAUACAAACAGUGGGAGCGGAUUUAUUCCGUGACUGCGUACCUUUUGUAUAAUGGGUCAACGACUUACAUUCAGUAGCGAGCUUAACCGGAUAGGGGAGGCGCAGGGAAACCGAGUCUUAAUAGGGCGAUUGAGUUGCUGGGUGUAGACCCGAAACCGAGUGAUCUAUCCAUGGCCAGGUUGAAGGUGCCGUAACAGGUACUGGAGGACCGAACCCACGCAUGUUGCAAAAUGCGGGGAUGAGCUGUGGAUAGGGGUGAAAGGCUAAACAAACUCGGAGAUAGCUGGUUCUCCCCGAAAACUAUUUAGGUAGUGCCUCGAGCUAGACACUGAUGGGGGUAAAGCACUGUUAUGGCUAGGGGGUCAUUGCG
rnacentral:ncRNA from 1 species